GACGAACGCUGGCGGCGUGCCUAAUACAUGCAAGUAGAACGCAGUUGCGAGCGGGUGAGUAACGCGUAGGUAACUGCCUGGUAGCGGGGGAUAACUAUUGGAAACGAUAGCUAAUACCGCAUACUACAAGAUGGACCUGCGUGGUAUUAGCUAGUUGGUGAGGUAACGGUUCAACAAGGCAACGAUGCAUAGCCGAACGGAGGGGGUGAGCGGCCAAACUGGGACUGAGACACGGCCCAGAUCCCUACUGGAGGCAGCAGUAGGUAAGCUUCGGCAAUGGGGGGAACCCUGACCUAGAAACGCCGCGGGAGUGAAGAAGGUUUUCGGAUCGUAAAGCUCUGUUGUUAAGGAAGCGGUACUUAACCAGAAAGGGACGGCUAACUACGUGCCAGCAGCCGCGGUAAUUC
rnacentral:rRNA from 1 species